rnacentral:rRNA from 1 species
GCCUGCAUGAAGUCGGAAUUGCUAGUAAUCGCGGAUCAGCAUGCCGCGGUGAAUACGUUCCCGGGCCUUGUACACACCGCCCGUCACACCAUAGGAGCCGGUAAUACCCGAAGUCAGUAGUCCAACCUCGUGAGGACGCUGCCGAAGGUAGGAUUGGCGACUGGGGUGAAGUCGUAACAAGGUAAC